rnacentral:lncRNA from 1 species
CUCCGUCACAUCGAAUCUUUAGAUGUAUGCAUGGAGUAUUAAAUAUAGACAAAAAUAAAAAUUAAUUACACAGUUUGGUCGGAAUUGACGAGACAAAUCUUUUGAGCUUAGUUAGUCCAUGAUUGGACAAUAUUUAUUAAAAACAAACAAAAAUGCUACAGUGUCGAUUUCCCAAAAUAUUUUGGAACUAAACGAGUAGUAUGGUGCCUGACUGCGGUGACGACGGAUUCACGGAUCACGGCCUGUUCCCUAGUAGUUUGACUUGAGCAGAUCAACAAGACAGGCUGGGCCGUAGAUUACUUGCGGCCUUGUUAGCCCAGCUCGACAGCAAACAGCUGGACCGAACUCUUCAAGGCCAGGAGUAGUACUUUAUUUAGCCUGGCCCAUACCUCAAUCUCUUUCAUCAGAGCAACGUUGGAAGGAGCAAACCCUGUCCAACGAAACAUGCUUCCUGCACAGUAACAGUUACAGAGUAAAAUGAAAAGGUGAAACCAACCGCAUCGCAUUAUCGUAAAAGAAGAUUGCACGCAAGUUACCACACAUACAUGGAUGCAAUACCUGUGCAUUGAGAUAUGGUCCCAACUCCUAACCAUGAACAAUGCUAAAAAAAAAUUACUGACCUUUGUAAAGUUGGCAGGUUUCCUGUGUUCUCGUACUGACCUUUGUAACAUAUGCUCCAGAACAGCUGGCCAUCCUGAUCAUCACACCAUGCUAUUCCACUUCCGACUCAUGAAAAAUAACACCUGAAAUGUUAGAUAAACGAAGCCCAAUUACAUAGUUAAGAUUUGUUUUCAGUUAUGGCCUGAAGACUCUCCAGGCAGAAUAGGCCUAAUUGUUCCUAGGGAGAUACAAGUAGGUUGGCCACUUGGCCUACGAACCUGCAUACAGGCUUAAUUCAGCAGGUUGCCCGCGACAAGCCACAAAACUAAGCCUAUAUGCUAGUUCACGGGCCAACCCACUUGCAUCCCAGAUUGUUCUCUUUAUUU